rnacentral:rRNA from 1 species
UGUACUGCGAUAUGACAGAACUGUGGGGACGCAUGUGGAAAGCAUAAGCACGGAAUGGAAAGCCGUGUACAAGCGAGGUAGGAGUCACGUAGGAAAAACCGCGUGGCAAUCCGAAGGCGUGAUGUGGACCGAACUUUCAGUAGGGAAGUAUGUGAGCCAUGUGCCGGGAAAAGCCGCUAUUGUUCAUACCGCACCCGUACCGUAAACCGACACAGGUGGAUGAGGAGAGAAUCCUAAGGCCGACGGAAGAAGCAUUGUUAAGGAACUCGGCAAAAUAGCCCCGUAACUUCGGGAGAAGGGGUGCCUGGAAACAGGCCGCAGAGAAUUGGCCCAAGCAACUGUUUAGCAAAAACACAGGUCUAUGCGAAACCGAAAGGUGAGGUAUAUGGGCUGACGCCUGCCCGGUGCUGGAAGGUUAAGAGGAGAGCUUAGCGCAAGCGAAGGUUUGAAUUUAAGCCCCAGUAAACGGCGGCCGUAACAAUAACGGUCCUAAGGUAGCGAAAUUCCUUGUCGGGUAAGUUCCGACCCGCACGAAAGGCGUAAUGAUUUGGGCGCUGUCUCGACAAUGCAUCCGGUGAAAUUGAAGUACCAGUGAAGAUGCUGGUUACCUGCGCCAGGACGGAAAGACCCCAUGGAGCUUUACUCCAGCUUGACACUGGGAUUCGGUAAUGCAUGUACAGGAUAGGUGGGAGGCAAUGAAAUAGGGACGCCAGUUUCUAUGGAGCCGCUGUUGGGAUACCACCCUUGCGUUAUUGGGUUUCUAACCUGCCGCCGUUACCCGGCGGGGGGACAAUGUCUGGCGGGGAGUUUGACUGGGGCGGUCGCCUCCGAAAGUGUAUCGGAGGCGCCCAAAGGUUCCCUCAGAAUGGUUGGAAACCAUUCGAAGAGUGCAAAGGCAGAAGGGAGCUUGACUGCGACACCGACGGGUGGAGCAGGUACGAAAGUAGGGCUUAGUGAUCCGGUGGUAUUAAGUGGGAAUGCCAUCGCUCAACGGAUAAAAGCUACCCUGGAUAACAGGCUUAUCACUCCCAAGAGUUCACAUCGACGGAGUGGUUUGGCACCUCGAUGUCGGCUCAUCGCAUCCUGGGGCUGUAGUAGGUCCCAAGGGUUGGGCUGUUUGCCCAUUAAAGCGGUACGCGAGCUGGGUUCAGAACGUCGUGAGACAGUUCGGUCCCUAUCCGGCGCGGGCGUAGGAUAUUUGAGAGGAGCUGCCCUUAGUACGAGAGGACCGGGGUGGACUGACCUCUGGUGUACCGGUUGUCAUACCAAUGGCACGGCCGGGUAGCCAAGUCGGGCAGGGAUAAACGCUGAAGGCAUCUAAGCGUGAAGCCCCACUCAAGAUGAGAUAUCCCAAGACCCCUUGAAGAACACGAGGUAGAUAGGGCAGAGGUGGAAGUGCAGUAAUGCAUGGAGCUGACUGCUACUAAUCGGUCGCAAGCUUACC